CAAGAGGUCUAGGACCGACCCUGUAGCUGCCAGGAAGAGCGAGCCGACAGCUGGUGGACGAGCAAUUACGAAGAAACAGGCGCCAAUGCCAACCCGUGUUUCUGCUCGGUUGAACAAAGGUGCCCCCAUUGCCGGUGAUACCACUUCCACCAGGACAUCUCCUCGCACGACGACAACCAACACCGGGGAUCCUGUCGUGUUGCCAGACCUGAGGAAGGCAGUCAGGAAGGUGAAGAAGACUACUACGCGUGGGUCCAAGCAUAUCAGUAAGGACCCGCUCGAACGCAUGCAUUCAAAGUUGUCAACAGGGGGCAACUCAGAUGUACAGGAGGCACCAGUCGACAAUACUGCUGCUGCACCAU